rnacentral:rRNA from 1 species
UACGAAGGGGGCUAGCGUUGCUCGGAAUUACUGGGCGUAAAGGGCGCGUAGGCGGCUAUUUAAGUUAGAGGUGAAAGCCCAGGGCUCAACCCUGGAAUAGCCUUUAAUACUGGAUAUCUUGAGUUCGGGAGAGGUGAGUGGAACUCCGAGUGUAGAGGUGAAAUUCGUAGAUAUUCGGAAGAACACCAGUGGCGAAGGCGACUCACUGGCCCGAUACUGACGCUGAGGCGCGAAAGCGUGGGGAGCAAACAGG